rnacentral:rRNA from 1 species
UUUGUAUUUUUAAAAGGGGGGGAAAAGAAACCAACAGGGAUUCCUUCAGUAAGGGGGAGGAAAGGGGCAAAAGCUAAAAUUAAUUUUGAACUUUUGGGUUCCAGAGUUGUAAUUUGAAGGUAGUUUUUGGGUGCUGGCCCUUGUCUAUUUCCUUAAACAGGAAGUCAUAGAGGGUGAGAAUCCCGUUUCGAGGGUGUCCGGUGCUUUGUAGAUUUCUUCCGAAGAGUCGAGUUGGGGUAAAUGCAGCUGUAAGUGGGUGGUGUUCCAUAUUUCAAGCUAAAUUGGCAAGUGAGACCGAUAGCGAACAAGUACAGUGAUGGAGAUGAAAAGAGAACUUUAAAAAGGGAGAAAAAGUGUACGAAAAAUUGUUGAAAGAAGGGCGUUUUGGAUCAGACUUGGUGUCUUGCCAUUAUUUUCCCUUGGUGGGUUGUGCACUCGCAUUUCACUGGCUGGCCCCACAUCGGAGGCCAGGAUAAUGGCUAAGUAUGAACACUUUCGGAAUUGGUAUAGCCCUGGGUGUGUGCCUAUUGGACCGAGGAUUGCGGCGUUGCCUAGGAUGCUGCUAUACAAGCCUG